ensembl:lncRNA
CUCAACCUUUACUCUGGGUUUAGGCACACCUCACUCCGGGUUUUACUCAGCCUUUACUUCAGGUUUACUCAACCUUCACUCAGGUUUUACACACCCUUUAUUCCAUGUUUACACACACCUUACUCCGGGUUUUACUCACACUUUACUCCGGGCUUUACUCAGACUUUACUCCGGGUUUACUCACCCUAUACUCCAGGUUUACUCAGCCUUUACUCUGGGCUUAGGCACACUUUACUCUGGGUUUUACUCAGCCUUUACUGCAGGUUUACUCACCCUUUACUCAGCUUUUACACACCCUUUAUUCCAGCUUUACACACACUGUACACUGGGUUUACUCACAUCUCACUCCGGAUUUUACUCACCCUUUACUCCGGGUUUUACUCAGCCUUUACUCCAGGUUUACUCAGCCUUUACUCUGGGUUUAGGCACACUUUACUCUGGGUUUUACUCAGCCUUUACUCCAGGUUUACUCACCCUUUACUCAGCUUUUACACACCCUUUAUUCCAGCUUUACACACACUGUACACUGGGUUUACUCACAUCUCACUCCGGAUUUUACUCACCCUUUACUCCGGGUUUUACUCAGCCUUUACUCCAGGUUUACUCAGCCUUUACUCUGGGUUUAGGCACACUUUACUCUGGGUUUUACUCAGCCUUUACUCCAGGUUUGCUCAACCUCUACUCAGGUUUUACACACCCUUUAUUCCAGGUUUACACACACUUUACUCUUGGUUUGGAUGCACCUCACUCCGGGUUUUACUCAGCCUUUACUCCGGGUUUACUCACCCUUUACUCCGGAUUUUACUCACCCUUUACUCCAGGUUUACUCAACCUUUACUCUGGGUUUAGGCACACCUUACUCCAG